GUUGAGUUUAUUUUUUAAAUUACGUGAGGCUUUGUGUUGUGUCUGUGUGGAACUAGGGUCACCACCAUGUCUGAGUGGCUAAAAUCUGAUGUUUUCAUCAUAUUUGUGGUGGUGCUACUGCUGGCAGUUAUCGUCCUCGUUGCUCUCUGCUUCAUCAUAAGGCGCCAUCGUAUAUACGGGAAAACAGAGGAACCGGCACAAAUUGAGAUUUUUUUCCCUGAUAGAUCCGAUCAACCCAAAUUCGUCAUGAAGAUCGUCACAGAGCAGAAAAAUGCCUCAGAGAUGGUACAGAUUGCAAUGCAACAAAUUUACUCCACCAAUGCCGAUGGCGCUCUUCUGACUGCUGCAGUUGCCUCUGCGUCACAAGAUCAACCUCAGAUAGACCCUUUGCCUUCCCCUCACACUGAAACAGAUGACACUCUGUCCGAUAAAGGGCUGUCCACUUUAUUGGAUGUGCCAGCUACAGAUCCCAGUAAACUCGUUGUGACUGCAGUGGUUCACACAGACCAAGUUCCAACUAAUAAAAAAAAGGCAGUAGUGAAAAAAAAGCAAAGUAGUCCCAUAUUGACUCAUUAUAAAAGAAAAGUAAAAACAAAAAAUAUAGAAGUCAAGUUUACUGAUUUAAAAUGAACACAAACGUGUUCUUAUGUUUCAUUUACAAUGAAAUGGCGCAAACACUUGAUGUAGUCCCCCGUGAUGAAUGAACACCCGGUGAUGAAUCACUA